AGGACGAACGCUGGCGGCGUGCUUAACACAUGCAAGUCGAGCGGAAAGGCCCUUCGGGGUACUCGAGCGGCGAACGGGUGAGUAACACGUGAGUAAUCUGCCCCUAGCUCUGGGAUAGCUCCGGGAAACCAGGAUUAAUACCGGAUACGACCACCUUAGACAUCUUUUGUGGUGGAAAGAAUUUCGGCUAGGGAUGAGCUCGCGGCCUAUCAGCUUGUUGGUGGGGUAACGCCUACCAAGGCGACGACGGGUAGCCGGCCUGAGAGGGCGACCGGCCACACUGGGACUGAGACACGGCCCAGACUCCUACGGGAGGCAGCAGUGGGGAAUAUUGCGCAAUGGGCGAAAGCCUGACGCAGCGACGCCGCGUGGGGGAUGAAGGCCUUCGGGUUGUAAACCCUUUCAGCAGGGACGAAGCGAAAGUGACGGUACCUGCAGAAGAAGCGCCGGCUAACUACGUGCCAGCAGCCGC
rnacentral:rRNA from 1 species